CCCACGCCGGUUGGAGCCUCCCGUUCGCGCUGCCAGCAGCUUCCGCCUGCUGCGGUCCUGGCAAGCACCUCGGGAUCUCAUUCCUUCACAGGGGCCCUAGCCGGGAGUCUCUGCAUUAGUUGGACAGCUCUUCUGGAAUUAUCUUCUAAGUCAACUGUGGGUUGGGUAGGUGGCUCUGCUGAUUUUUUGCUGGACUUCCACAUUUGGGACCAGUUGGCUGUCAUCAGCUCUAGAAAGGGUGUGGCUGUUUUACAUUGGCUGUUUUCCUCACAUUCCUCAAGCAGGUACUGUAAUAAAGAACUGGAGAAAUAAAGUCAGAUGGGAAGUAGCCCCUGCUGUCAAGGAGCUUGCCAUCUAAUGGGGGAGACAGGCAAGUAAACCAAAGACUACACAGUGCAGUAUGGUAAGUGCCAUGAUUUUGAUAUGACAGGGCACAGUGGAAGACCUUCCAAAUCAAAGCAAGUAAGUAAGGGUUGACAAUGGUAAGUAUCAUAGUUGAAGUAUCCUUGAACAAGGUUUCAGGAAGAAGAAUAAGGGAAUUUCAUGCAGGGAAACAGCCAAAGCUCAGUGAGUCAAAAUAUCACAGCAUUCUUGGUAAGCCCAAUUUUUUUUUCUGUUUU
rnacentral:lncRNA from 1 species